AUGAACGCUGGCGGCGUGCCUAAUACAUGCAAGUCGAGCGAACAGACGAGGAGCUUGCUCCUCUGACGUUAGCGGCGGACGGGUGAGUAACACGUGGAUAACCUACCUAUAAGACUGGGAUAACUUCGGGAAACCGGAGCUAAUACCGGAUAACAUGUUGAACCGCAUGGUUCAACAGUGAAAGACGGUUUUGCUGUCACUUAUAGAUGGAUCCGCGCCGCAUUAGCUAGUUGGUAAGGUAACGGCUUACCAAGGCAACGAUGCGUAGCCGACCUGAGAGGGUGAUCGGCCACACUGGAACUGAGACACGGUCCAGACUCCUACGGGAGGCAGCAGUAGGGAAUCUUCCGCAAUGGGCGAAAGCCUGACGGAGCAACGCCGCGUGAGUGAAGAAGGUCUUCGGAUCGUAAAACUCUGUUAUUAGGGAAGAACAAAUGUGUAAGUAACUAUGCACGUCUUGACGGUACCUAAUCAGAAAGCCACGGCUAACUACGUG
rnacentral:rRNA from 1 species